rnacentral:rRNA from 1 species
UACGUAGGGUGCGAGCGUUGUCCGGAAUUACUGGGCGUAAAGAGCUCGUAGGUGGUUUGUCGCGUUGUUCGUGAAAACUCACAGCUUAACUGUGGGCGUGCGGGCGAUACGGGGCAGACUGGAGUACUGCAGGGGAGACUGGAAUUCCUGGUGUAGCGGUGGAAUGCGCAGAUAUCAGGAGGAACACCCGUGGCGAAGGCGGCUCUCUGGGACGGUACUGACGCUGAGACGCGAAAGCGUGGGGAGCGAACAGG